rnacentral:rRNA from 1 species
GACGUAGGGCGCGAGCGUUGUCCGGAUUUAUUGGGCGUAAAGAGCUCGUAGGCGGCUUGUCGCGUCGUCCGUGAAAACCCAUGGCUCAACUGUGGGCUUGCGGUCGAUACGGGCAGGCUGGAGUUCGGUAGGGGAGACUGGAAUUCCUGGUGUAGCGGUGAAAUGCGCAGAUAUCAGGAAGAACACCCGUGGCGAAAGCGGCUCUCUGGAACGGUACUGACGCUGAGACGCGAAAGCGUGGGGAGCGAACAGG